GAUGAACGCUGGCGGCGUGCCUAAUACAUGCAAGUCGAGCGAACGGACGAGAAGCUUGCUUCUCUGAUGUUAGCGGCGGACGGGUGAGUAACACGUGGAUAACCUACCUAUAAGACUGGGAUAACUUCGGGAAACCGGAGCUAAUACCGGAUGAUAUUUUGAACCGCAUGGUUCAAAAGUGUAAGACGGUCUUGCUGUCACUUAUAGAUUGAUCCGCGCUGCAUUAGCUAGUUGGUAAGGUAACGGCUUACCAAGGCAACGAUGCAUAGCCGACCUGAGAGGGUGAUCGGCCACACUGGAACUGAGACACGGUCCAGACUCCUACGGGAGGCAGCAGUAGGGAAUCUUCCGCAAUGGGCGAAAGCCUGACGGAGCAACGCCGCGUGAGUGAUGAAGGUCUUCGGAUCGUAAAACUCUGUUAUUAGGGAAGAACAUAUGUGUAAGUAACUGUGCACAUCUUGACGGUACCUAAUCAGAAAGCCACGGCUAACUACGUG
rnacentral:rRNA from 1 species